UAGAUUGAGCCUUGGUAUGGAAACCUGCUAAGUGGUAACUUCCAAAUUCAGAGAAACCCUGGAAUUAAAAAUGGGCAAUCCUGAGCCAAAUCUUUAUGUUAAGAAAACAAAGGAUAGGUGCAGAGACUCAAUGGAAGCUGUUCUAACAAAUGGAAUUGACGUUGACUACGUUGCGUUGGUAGCUGGAAUCCCUCUAUCGAAAUUACAGAAAGGAUGACCCUAUAUGCGUAUAUAUACAUACUGACAUAUCAAACGAUUAAUCACAACUCGAAUCUGGAAUCCAUAUUAUUAACUAUAACUAUAUAUUAUAGUUAUUAUUAUAUAUAUUUGGUUUAUAUUUUUAAAAAUAGAGAUUUUUUUAUAAAUUUAUAGAUUAAUUAAGAGUUAUUAUAGAGUUAUUAUAAAGAUAUUCCAGUCGAAGUUGAAGAAAGAAUCGAAUAUUCAGUAUUCAGUGAUCAAAUCAUUCAUUCCGGAGUCGGAUAGAUCUUUUGAAAAAAUGAUUAAUCGGACGAGAAUAAAGAGAGAGUCCUGUUCUACGUGUCAAUACCGACAGCAAUGAAAUUUAUAGUAUUAGGAAAAUCCGUCGACUUACUAA
rnacentral:precursor_RNA from 1 species